rnacentral:rRNA from 1 species
UACGAAGGGGGCUAGCGUUGUUCGGAAUUACUGGGCGUAAAGGGUUCGCAGGUGGCUUGUUAAGUCAGACGUGAAAUCCCUCGGCUCAACCGGGGAACUGCGUCUGAGACUGAUGAGCUCGAGUGCAGGAGAGGAACGCGGAAUUCCAGGUGUAGCGGUGAAAUGCGUAGAUAUCUGGAGGAACACCGGUGGCGAAGGCGGCGUUCUGGACUGCAACUGACACUGAGGAACGAAAGCCAGGGGAGCAAACGGG